CCUUGUUAGAAGAAAUGAAAUCGAUGAAUUUGUGGUACAGAUUGAAAAACUUUCAACAGAAUUACAAGAGGAGGAGGAGGAAUUUACUUUAAAAGAAAAACUAUUAAUUCUGGAGUUAAAGAAGUAUGAGGAAUUAUAUGUUCACGAAGUACAAAUUCACAAAGAGAAACAAGAAGAACUAAUUGAAUAUAUUCCACAACUUCAGGAAGCAGAAGAAGAGUAUGAAAUCAAAUAUAAAAAGUUAGAAGAGCUCUAUAAUAUUUUUACAGGAGAAAAUUAAGCAAGAACUAAAAGAAUUACUAGAUCUUGAAAGCA
rnacentral:lncRNA from 1 species